GUUUCACUUGGUUGUUGCUUUUGACUAGCACCUUAUUACUGUGAAUGCUUCUUUACAGAUCCUGGAAAAGAGAAAGAACUUAAAUCUCCAGCUGCCACAAAAGACAAAGAGCACACUAAAGAAAGAGAGGGAAAGAAUUCUACAGCUUUAAAAGAUAGAGAGUCUCCAAAAGGAAACAAUCCCAAGAAUCCAGAGGGAAGAAAGGAGAAAGAGCCUGGUAAAAGAAAAGAUGUGAAGCCUCCAGCAGUCUUAAAGGAAAAGGAGUCUUCAAAAGGAAAAGAACUGAAGACUUCAACUUUCAUUAAGGAAAAAGCUGUGGUGAAAAAAGAAGAGGAGAAGAAAGCUAUUGUAGAGAAACAUCAUGAACACAAGCAUGAAGCUGUCAAACAUGAAAAAGGUGUUCCACCAACAAAACCAGGUAGACAUCCAGAAUUUUUUGCAUUUAUUA
rnacentral:lncRNA from 1 species